AGAGGAGGGACAGGUGUCUGUACAGGGGUUCUGCCCUCAGUACCCACCUGCCUGUCCUCCAG
rnacentral:miRNA from 1 species